rnacentral:rRNA from 1 species
UACGGGGGGUGCGAGCGUUGUCCGGAAUCACUGGGCGUAAAGGGCGCGUAGGUGGCGUGAUAAGGGUGUGGUGAAAGCCCGGGGCUCAACCCCGGGUCUGCCAUGCCGACUGUCAGGCUGGAGUACUGUAGGGGCAGGCGGAAUUCCGGGUGUAGCGGUGGAAUGCGUAGAGAUCCGGAGGAAGACCGGUGGCGAAGGCGGCCUGCUGGGCAGUUACUGACACUGAGGCACGAAGGCCAGGGGAGCAAACGGG